AAAUAAAAAGGAACAAAAUGCAUACGCUAGGGGUUGAACCCUUGACCUUGGGGUCAUGGGGGAUCAACCCAUCCCCCACUGGGCUAAGCGCUCACUUGUUAUCAUAAGUGCAUUAAUCAAAUAAAAUAUUAAGUCAAACAUUAAAAUAACAUGCGCGCUAAAGUGAACCAAUUAGGACAAGACAUGACAAAUGUUUGAAUUUGAAUUCAUGCGAAGAACAUCAUCUUCAACCUUCAACCAUCCAAAAUCAAAACCUACAAACACGUGUUUUUCACUGAAUUUGA
rnacentral:lncRNA from 1 species